AAAAAGACAAAUCCUGGUUUCCGUGUCCAACAUUUGACCGUCCGUCUUAUUUGAAAAAAUUAUGAAAAAAAUUAAAAAGACAAGUCACGUAUAAAAUAUUAAUCAUGUUUUACCAUCUAACAACAAUGAAAAUACGAAUUAUAAAAAAAAUUCAUAUAAGACGGAUAAUCAAAAUUGGACAUGGAAAUUCAGGAUUUGUCUUUUU
rfam:Oryza glaberrima chromosome 9 Oglab09_0132_5, whole genome shotgun sequence.